GAUGAACGCUGGCGGCGUGCCUAAUACAUGCAAGUCGAGCGAACGGACGAGAAGCUUGCUUCUCUGAUGUUAGCGGCGGACGGGUGAGUAACACGUGGAUAACCUACCUAUAAGACUGGGAUAACUUCGGGAAACCGGAGCUAAUACCGGAUAAUAUUUUGAACCGCAUGGUUCAAAAGUGAAAGACGGUCUUGCUGUCACUUAUAGAUGGAUCCGCGCUGCAUUAGCUAGUUGGUAAGGAAACGGCUUACCAAGGCAACGAUGCAUAGCCGACCUGAGAGGGUGAUCGGCCACACUGGAACUGAGACACGGUCCAGACUCCUACGGGAGGCAGCAGUAGGGAAUCCUCCGCAAUGGGCGAAAGCCUGACGGAGCAACGCCGCGUGAGUGAUGAAGGUCUUCGGAUCGUAAAACUCUGUUAUUAGGGAAGAACAUAUGUGUAAGUAACUGUGCACAUCUUGACGGUACCUAAUCAGAAAGCCACGGCUAACUACGUG
rnacentral:rRNA from 1 species